rnacentral:ncRNA from 17 species
CAGAAUUGAAUGUAAAACGGUGUCUGCUUAUGCAGGAGAAUAGGAAAGUUGAGUGAAAGUCUCACACGGUCACGCCGCUGUAACGGAAGAGCCGCAUUUCAUUAUGUCACUGAAUAUCUGAAGAUACCCGGGAAGACGAAAUGCAGUGAUGAUGCCCAAGUCAAAAGGCCUGCCUUUUACAUGAAAUUUACA